rnacentral:rRNA from 1 species
GACAGAGGAUGCAAGCGUUAUCCGGAAUCAUUGGGUUUAAAGGGUCCGUAGGCGGUUUGGUAAGUCAGUGGUGAAAGCCCAUCGCUCAACGGUGGAACGGCCAUUGAUACUGCCAGACUUGAAUUAUUAGGAAGUAACUAGAAUAUGUAGUGUAGCGGUGAAAUGCUUAGAGAUUACAUGGAAUACCAAUUGCGAAGGCAGGUUACUACUAAUUGAUUGACGCUGAUGGACGAAAGCGUGGGUAGCGAACAGG